GCCCCGACGCCGGCACCGUGGGUGGGAUGGAGCUCCCCGACGCCGGCGACGCGGGUUGG
ensembl:miRNA gga-mir-12289-1 gga-mir-12289-1